UGGUAGUGAGUCGUCCGGGUGAUGGCACCUGACUGUUAAUCAGGAACGAGACUGGUUCGAGUCCAGUACUACCAGCCA
rnacentral:tRNA from 1 species